GUAAAAGUAUUCUAGAACCAUCAUUUGCUUCAUCUGGUCUAACACUCGCCAUCUUUCUAAUGGAAAAGUAGAUAUGCUUCUCUGCCAAAAACCUAAUAGAGAAAUGGUGAGUCAACACCAUUUUCUUGUUUCCUCGAACUGAAUUCUACUCGUGGGAACGGCGUAACCCAAUAUCUGGUGACAAAAGUACAAUAAGAGAUCGAGGGUUUUCAGCUAGCUAGUCUGAUAGAAAGCAAGCGGAGGCACAACCCUAUAUCUCACUGUUACGCAUCUAGAGCCCUAGCCCGGUUCUUUAAUUGCUCGGUGCUUCACAUGCUUCCUCUUCAAGUUGCUAAGUUAUGCAAAGAAUUAUGGUUUGGGGGUUAAGGUUCCCCGUUCUCGCGCAAAGAGAUGUGCUUUGGAGGAGGAGCGUGCCAAAAGAAUUAAAGUUGAGAUGGAAGCUCAAAAACUGGUUAAGAAGUUUGAUAAGAUGACUAAUGUGCUGAUAAAAGUCUUGGAGCUCCAGGGUAUGUCGAAAAAGGAAAUUCUUACUCUUUUAUCAGAUGGUGAGGAUAAAUGAUGAUGAAUACAAUGAUGGAUCUGGGAAGGAAAAUUUUGAAGAGGCCAAUGCGGAUGUAGGUGAGGAAGAUGGCUACCAGACACGAGAUGAAGAAGGCGAGGAAUAUUAUGAAUAUGAGUAGUAAGGAAGAUAUCAUGCAUCCUCAAGUCUUUUGUAGAUGGAAUUUAACAUUGCUCCUGUCAUGUGUUAUAUGUUUUAGACCAUGAGAUUUCUUUUGAAUUGAACUUAAAUGGUUGCACUGGAUCUUAACAUUUUGGAUGGUUCAUAGUAACUUGUAAUGUACAAGGUUUUGUGUGGUUGUGUUGAACAAGUAAACUGUUGUUCCUAGGUUUUGGUUGAUGACACACACACACAUUGCAAAUUUCCUGAUUGUGGUUGCUAAUGACUUUAGACAGGUAAGUGCCUGAGUUCCUAAGAGAAACGAAACUUUGAAUAGAUGUUGAAGUUUCUGAAAUGCACUUGGAACAGCUACUAGAGUUCCUGAGCUGGAAGCAGUACAAGCUAGAGUUUCAAAGUCAACAAAGGAGCAACACGUAUCACAAAUCGAGUGUUCAUCAUAAGUCACAAGAAAAGCUGCAGACUCAUGGCCACGAGUUCCUAUUUAAACAUAAGAGGAACUCAUUAAUGUUCCUGAGCUGGAACAAGUGAAGCUUCAGAGUUGAAUGCCUCAUCAAAGGAAAGACAUAUAUGUCUAGGUAGUUUAUCUUGCUUAGAUUAUAUGUAAUAUAUUAAUAUGUUAAGUAGUAUAUAAGGAACUAGAGGAACUUGGAUUACUCGUGUGUUUUUGUCAAAAUAUCAAGCAACACAGUUUUAAGGAAAAUACUUUAAAUAAAAUAUCUUUUCAUGUUUAAUAAAAAUAAGAUUUUCAUCA